AUGAGUUUUCUUGAAGGCUUUUUUGGUCCAGUUUGUGAGAUUGAUAUGUCUUUAAUGAUGGAGAAGCCAGGAAAAUGACAGAAAUGAAAACUGAAGAUGGCAAAGUAGAAAAACACCAUCUCUUUAUAAUGGAGAAUCUGUUUCAGGGAAGGUAAAUGUAGCCUUUAAGCAACCUGGAUAGAGGCUAGAGCACCAAGGAAUUAGAAUUGAAUUUAUAGGUCAAAUGGAACUUUACAAUGACAAGAGUAAUGCUCAUGAAUUUAUAAACCUAAUGAAAGAACUAGCCUUACCUGGAGAACUGACUCAGAGAAGAAGUUAUGAUUUUGAGUUUAUGCAAGUUAAAAAGCCAUAUGCAUCUGACAUCGGUGCCAGUGUUCACUUGAGGUAUUUUCUUAAAGUGACAAUAGUGAGAAGACUGACAGAUUUAGUAAAAGAAUGUGAUCUUAUUGUUCACCAGCUUGCCACCUGUCCUGAUGUUAACAACUGUAUUAAGAUAGAAGUGGGCAUUGAAGAUUGUCUACAUAUAUAAUUUGAAUAUAGUAAGUCAAAGUAUCAUUUAAAGCAUGUAAUUGUUGGAAAAAUUUACUUCUUAGUAGUAAGAAUAAAAAUACAACAUAUGGAGUUACAACUGAUCAAAAAAGAGAUCACAGGAAUUGGACCCAGUACCACAGCAGAAACAGAAACAUCACCAAAUAUGAAAUAAUGGAUGGUGCACCAGUAAAAGGUGAAUCAAUUCCAAUGAGACUGUUUUUAGUGGGAUAUGACCCUACUCCAACAAUCAGAUGUGAACCAAAAAGUUUCAGUAAGGUACUUUUUGAAUUUAGUGUUUGUUGAUGAGGAAGACUGAAGGUACUUCAAACAGCAGGAGAUCAUUUUAUGAAGAAAAGCUCCUGAAAAACUGAGGAAACAGAGAAAAAACUUUCACCAGUGAUUUGAAUCUCCAGAAUCACAGGCAUCUGCUCAACAGCCUGAAAUGUGA
rnacentral:lncRNA from 1 species